UACGUAGGCAGCAAGCGUUGUUCGGAGUUACUGGGCGUAAAGGGUGCGUAGGCGGUUGUUUAAGUUUGGUGUGAAAUCUCCCGGCUUAACUGGGAGGGUGCAGCGGAAACUAGAAUGCUAGAGGGUGGGAGAGGUAAGCGGAAUUCCUGGUGUAGCGGUGAAAUGCGUAGAUAUCAGGAGGAACACCUGUGGUGUAGACAGCUUACUGGACCACUUCUGACGCUGAGACACGAAAGCGUGGGUAGCAAACAGG
rnacentral:rRNA from 1 species